rnacentral:lncRNA from 1 species
ACUUAACUAAAGAGUAUAGCCAAUAUCUAUCAGGUGAGCCUACAUGACUUAAAGACUGAAUCGCUGCAUCAUGCUUGGAGAAGCAUUGGAUAAGAGUUGUCUACUCAUCGAUGUAACGUGUUACCAAUAUCCGUUAGGUGAGAUGCAUGUACAUAGGUGGGACUGUAGUACCCACUAAGAAUCCUUGUCGUGUUAGAAUUUUUGUUUC